ensembl:lncRNA novel transcript
CAGAGAACCCUGGUGGGAGAGGUGAAUCUGAGCUCCUCGGGCCAUCGGGUGUCCUGUGGAGCAGAGGCAGGCCCGUGAGGGUGAUUUUCAGAAUGCUGCCUGCUUCUGAGAGCAGAAGUCCUAGCAGAGUAUGCCCACGCUGGUUAGUGCUGCUGCAAAGAUGAGCCGAAGACCAUGAGAGACCUCCAGGUGGUCCUUCUGGGGAGAAGAAAUGGGUUUUGGCCCCAAAUCCUUCUGCUGCAUUUUUCCCCUAUCCCUGGGAAGCCAUGAGACCUCAAACCUGUGUUCCCAAGGAGGCGAGCUGCUGUUCCCAGGUGAUGAUAUGAUGUGCUUGGGGAAAGUAAGUGGCUGCCAGACAUGGCUGAGAGCUGUUGUCACUGCCGUCAAGUGCAUGUCUCCAAGCCAUAUCACACGGCGUCCCUCGAUGUGAGGCCACAUGGCAAGUGGGCCGUGGAUCUCCCUCUGCCCUUUGCAAGCACGUAAGACAGCAGAUUUUGCAGAUACCUUGUGGCGCAGGGGAAUUUCCUUUGGCCAGGUCUGAAGAAAUAAAGCAGCAGGCACCGAGAACAAAGCCAAGGCUUUCAAAAGACAAGGAGCCAAAAAACUUACUCAAAAUAAAAGUAGUUUUAAAAUGUC